rnacentral:rRNA from 1 species
UACAGAGGUCCCAAGCGUUGUUCGGAUUCACUGGGCGUAAAGGGUGCGUAGGCGGUCGGGUAAGUCUGAUGUGAAAUCUCGCAGCUUAACUGCGAAACUGCAUUGGAUACUAUCCGGCUAGAGGAAUGGAGGGGAGACUGGAAUACUUGGUGUAGCAGUGAAAUGCGUAGAUAUCAAGUGGAACACCAGUGGCGAAGGCGAGUCUCUGGACAUUUCCUGACGCUGAGGCACGAAAGCCAGGGGAGCAAACGGG